CCUACGGGAGGCUGCAGUGAGGAAUAUUGGUCAAUGGCCGGAAGGCUGAACCAGCCAAGCCGCGUGAAGGACGAAGGUGCCAAGCAUUGUAAACUUCUUUUGUCAAGGGACAAAAUCAGGCUCGAGAGCCUGCCCGAGGGUACGCGAAGAAAAAGCAUCGGCUAACUCCGUGCCAGCCGCCGCGGUAAGACGGGAGGUGCAAGCGGUAUCCGGAUUGAUUGGGUUUAAAGGGUGCGUAGGCUGUGAGGUAAGUCAGCGGUGAAAUGCCCCCGCUCAACGGGGGGAAGUGCCAUUGAUACUGCCUUGCUGGAAUGCGGAAGCGGUGGGAGGAAUGUGUGGUGUAGCGGUGAAAUGCAGAGAUAGAACACAGAACACCGAUUGCGAAGGCAUCUCACGAAUCCGCGAUUGACGCUGAUGCACGAAAGCGUGGGUAUCAAACAGGAUUAGAUACCCUUGUAGUC
rnacentral:rRNA from 1 species